rnacentral:rRNA from 1 species
UCUACGGGAGGCAGCAGUGAGGAAUAUUGGUCAAUGGGCGUAAGCCUGAACCAGCCAAGUCGCGUGAGGGAUGAAGGUUCUAUGGAUCGUAAACCUCUUUUAUAAGGGAAUAAAGUGCGGGACGUGUCCCGUUUUGUAUGUACCUUAUGAAUAAGGAUCGGCUAACUCCGUGCCAGCAGCCGCGGUAAUACGGAGGAUCCGAGCGUUAUCCGGAUUUAUUGGGUUUAAAGGGUGCGUAGGCGGCCUUUUAAGUCAGCGGUGAAAGUCUGUGGCUCAACCAUAGAAUUGCCGUUGAAACUGGGGGGCUUGAGUAUGUUUGAGGCAGGCGGAAUGCGUGGUGUAGCGGUGAAAUGCUUAGAUAUCACGCAGAACCCCGAUUGCGAAGGCAGCCGGCCAAGCCGUGACUGACGCUGAUGCACGAAAGCGUGGGGAUCAAACAGGAUUAGAUACCCGGGUAGUC